ensembl:lncRNA
CUGAAGCUCCGACAACAACAACAACUACUACGACAGCUACAACUGCAGCACCUACAAUGACAACUGCAGCUUCUAUUACAACUGCAGCACCUACUAUGAUAACUGCAGCACCUAUUACGACAACUGCAGCACCUAUUACGAAAACUGUAGCUCCUACAACAACUACUUCUGCAGCUCCUACGACAACGUCUACUGCAUCACCUUCUACAACUGCAGCUCCUACGACCACUACGAUUGCAACAACUACUACGACAACCACAACUGCAGAUCCUACUGCUACAACCACAACUGCAGAUCCUACUACAUUAGUUGCACUUAUGAGCACUACCCCAGCUGAACCUGCAACAACUGUAGAUAAAACUGCUACAACUGCAGCAACUACUACAACUGAAGCUGCAAACACAACCAAACCUACUACGACAGCUACAACUAAUGUUCCUACGACCUCCACAACAGCAACACCUGCAACGACAAUUGCCGCUCCUACGACAACUGCAGCUCCUAUGACAACUACAGCUCAUACAACUGCAUCUCAUACAACAAUAACUGUAUCUCUUUUUACCACUACACCUGUAGCGCUUACUACAGCCACAACAGCAACACCUACAAAUACAACUGGAGCACCUGCUACAGAAACUACAAUUGCACCUACUACGACAACCACUACUGCAACUUCUAUGAUAACUGCAGCUACUCUGACCAAUGUAGCUCCUACGACAACCAGAACUUCAGUUUCUACGACGAACACCACCUUAGCUCCUACGACAACAACGACAACUGCAACUCCUAUGACAACGACAACUCCAGCACCUUAUAUGACAACCGCAACUGUAGCUACAGCAACAACUGUAGCUCCUACAACAAUACUAUCUGUAGCUUCUACAACCACUAAAACUGCAGCAACUACUACAACUGAAGCUCCGAUAAUAACCACACCUACUAUGACAGCUACAACUGAAGCUCCUACGAUUACUUCAACAGCAACACCUGCAACACCAACUGUAGCUCCUACGACAACUGCAUCUCGUACGACAACUGCAGCUACUAGGACAACUGCAGCUCGUAUGACAACAACUGUAUCUCUUCUGAACAUUACACCUGAGGUACCUGCUACUGCUCCUACUACAACUGUAGCUCCUACUACAACUACAUCAGCAGCGCCUACGACAACCACUGCAGCUCUUACUACAACAUUUGUAGAUAUUACAACAACUACAACUAGAGCACUUGCUACAGAAACUACAAUUGCACGUACUACGACAACUGCAGCACCUACGACAACUGCAGCUUCUACGACAACUGCAGCUCCUACGACAACCACAACUGCAGCUUUUACGAGAACUACCACUGCUCCUACUAUCAACAGCACCAUAGAAGCUCCUACUUCCACAACCAUAACUGAAGCUUCUAUAACCACCACAACUGUAUCUUCUACUAUGACAACCACAACUUCAGCUGCCAUAAUGACAACUACAAAUUUAGCUCCAACAAUGGCAACUCCAGCUCUUACAGCCACCACCACCACUGUAGCUUCUAGCAUGGCAAUUCAACCUGCAGGUCCUACAACAACGACCACAAUUGUUGCUCCAACAAUGACUACAACUGCAGCACCUACAAGUACAACCACCAUUGUACUUCCAACUUUUACUUCAACUUCUAUGGUUUCAGGGACAUCAACAACUUCUAUGGCUUCAGGGACGUCAACAACCAGAUUUGGCACAGUGGUGGUUUUUGUUAGACUGGUGUUCCAGCUCAACACACUAGUCCCCACUGAAGAUGAUGUUCUUGGUGUCAUCAACAAGCAACUGUCUCGUCAAUUCAACAUUCAGAGAAGCACUCAGACCACCUUCCAGAAUGCAACUUAUAUCAAACUUACACAUACUUCAUUUGCCGUCGAUCUUGGUUUCAAAAUAACCAAUGUAACCAUGGAGUCUCAAAGAGAUAGACUCACAUUCACCAGCGAGACCUACAACAAGAUACAGGAUUCAAUUAACAGCCUACUCCAUGAAAUUCUUAGUAAACCAGAUGGCAAACAAUUUGUCUUUCCCAAUGCCAACUUCACUAUUGUUGGCACUCAAAUCAGGGCAGACAUCAUGUAUGUAUACAAAGAGGAAGACAUCAAGCUCCCUAGUGCUUUUCUAGAGGAAGUCUUAAAAGUCUCAGGUCUCCUAACAACCACUGUUGCACCAACAACAACUACCAGCACCUCACCACCUACUACCCCUUUGCUGACCACUCCUUUCAGUAUAAGUGACAGAGGUUUUCCUGGCUGGGCUCUGGCCAUUAUCA